CGACCUCAGCAUCUUAAUCAUAGACAGUUUAACAAGUACAAGUACUUAGUGAGAGGAGUAGAGUGAAUCAAGAACGAAGUAUAAGGGAUCAAAAAUGAGAGCCAGACUUGGUGCUGCCAAGUUCUCGACUGAUGGCCUUGGUUGAGAUUCUCAAAGCUACAAGUUGGAAGGAUGGACUGGGGGAGACAAGAGGUCUCUGGCAGGGCGGUUGAGGACUAGACCGCCUCCCUUUGGACAGGAGCAAGGCCUCAGAGGUAGGCGGACGGUGCUGUCAGAGGCUAAGGUCUCAAUGUGAAGUCAGAGUUGAGAGCUGGCAGGCUUGGGUCUGUAACCGGUGAGCAUACUAGGAGCUGCAAAGACCAAGUAUGAGUACUGGUGAGCCCAAGUCUGCCUGCUUUCGUGUGUGUCCUUCCAAGAGCGACAGGCUUAUAGGGGCUGCUCUGACAUACUGUCAUCUACGGCCAUAGGAUCCAGAAAAUACCGCAUCCCGUCCGAUCUGCGAAGUCAAG
rnacentral:misc_RNA from 1 species